rnacentral:lncRNA from 1 species
GUGCGCCGUUUACACGUUUGCCCUUAUAUGAUAUGUAUCUUAUGUAUAUCUUGUAUUUUGCAGCAUGUUCAAGAAUAUUUCUGCAUGGUGCACUCUGACUGUUGAUAAUAUUUGCAUACUGAAAUGACUUCAACAACCAGAAUGUGUUUUUGAUAAAUAUUAGUAAUAAUAGAAACUUUAAUCCAUUCCUUGAUUUGUCACUUCAAAAUAUCUCAAAGAAGUGAACCUUAGACAAACUGCUGGUGUAUUGUGGAAGUUAAGAAGGUAGAGAUGAAUCUCAAAAUAUUGCUAAACUUUUUGACCAGACAGUUCAAAUGUCCACAAGACCUGCACAAAAGAACUCUGCAUCAAAUGUCCACAAGACCUGCAAAAGUGAUAAUGCAGAUAAUAUCCUAGCAGCCAUCCAAAAACUAACAGAGAAAAAUCAGGAAUGCCUUGGGAAUAUGUCAUUCAAACUCACAAAAGCAGCAUUUACCAACAUUUACAAUCAAAAAGAAUAUGUCAUGAUAAACAAUAAAUGUAGGUACGAUUCAAACAUUGAAACAGCUGUUCUUGAGCACGCUUCGUUGAGUUUCGGCAACUUUUAACCAAAAAGCGAUUG